GAUGAACGCUGGCGGCGUGCCUAAUACAUGCAAGUCGAGCGAACGGACGAUAAUCUUGCUUUUCUGAUGUUAGCGGCGGACGGGUGAGUAACACGUGGAUAACCUACCUAUAAGACUGGGAUAACGUCGGGAAACCGGAGCUAAUACCGGGUAAUAUUUUGAGCCGCAUGGUUCAAAAGUGAAAGACGGUCUUGCUGUCACUUAUAGAUGGAUCCGCGCUGCAUUAGCUAGUUGGUAAGGUAACGGCUUACCAAGGCAACGAUGCAUAGCCGACCUGAGAGGGUGAUGGGCCACACUGGAACUGAGACACGGUCCAGACUCCUACGGGAGGCACAAGUAGGGAAUCUUCCGCAAGGGGCGAAAGCCUGACGGAGCAACGCCGCGUGAGUGAUGAAGGUCUUCGGAUCGUAAAACUCUGUUAUGAGGGAAGAACAUAUGUGUAAGUAACUGUGCACAUCUUGACGGUACCUAAUCAGAAAGCCACGGCUAACUACGUG
rnacentral:rRNA from 1 species